rnacentral:rRNA from 1 species
UCGAAACCUAAUCCGAAAAGGAACGACCUGCGAACGAGUGAUUCCACAUGCGGUGUGUGAGGGGAUCCUCACCGGUCUUCUCACCCACCGAGUCCGCCGAGGCACGUGCGAUCUGUCGAGUCUUCUCGUCAGAUCGCUCGUGUCCCCCGUCGGAAAUCACAAAACCCCGGCGCGGAAAGCGCCAAGGAAUAUAUAACAAAACAGCUCGCUCCGGACGCCCCUUUCAAGGUGUGCAUGCGGAGGUGUUGCUGCGAUAACAAGUCUAAAACGACUCUCGGCAACGGAUAUCUCGGCUCUCGCAUCGAUGAAGAACGUAGCGAAAUGCGAUACUUGGUGUGAAUUGCAGAAUCCCGUGAACCAUCGAGUCUUUGAACGCAAGUUGCGCCCCAAGCCGUCAGGCCGAGGGCACGUCUGCCUGGGUGUCACGCAUCGUCGUCCCCCUCCCACCUGGCGCACUCGCUCGGGUGAGCGUGGAGACGGAGACUGGUCUCCCGUGUGGUACCGCAUGCGGUUGGCCCAAAAUCGAGCCACGGGCGCGGAGCGUCCCGACAAGCGGUGGUGUAUAGAUGCCUCGUGGUAAUGUCGGCCGCUCCCGUCCCUACUGACUCUACGACCCUUAUAGAGCUGCCAUGGCGACUCUCCGAACGCGACCCCAGGUCAGGCGGGACCACCCGCUGAGUUUAA